AUUUAAUACCGGUAUAUAAAAUAUUGCAAACUUAUCGAUAUUCUUCGAGAUAGUUACUAACUACAAGAAGACUAUAAAUUUCAAAAGAAGUCAAAGCACUAAAUGGCUAAUUAAUGGAAUCGUCGACGUUUCGCCUAUCUUUAUGUUCUUUGUACGAACACUUGAUGUAGUAUCAGAGCCAUCGGGCAAAAAGAAAAGGGCGCGAAAAUGGAAUAUAGGAAUCUGACACUUCGAUAGAGGAUUUCUCACUUGUGUGGUACAAUGAACUUUUCGUCUUGUCGAAUAUGGGUAGUUUAGCAUUAGACAGCGUUCGACAGACGAAUCCAUUCAGGGGCUUAAGUCGUUGAGCAAGGCUCUCGUCCAGAUCGUCGAAGAUGAAAAAUUUUGGCCCGUAGCCCAUGCGUGGAAUGGUGAAUUACUCGUGGAAGUUUAUAUCACAAUAUCCUAAAUUGAUUCACGCUACCUGGACAAAUUGUAACAUUCCUCAUUUUGCAUAUUAGAGCAUAGCUCAGGUUGUGCCCUCAAAUCGUGGGGCGGAGCAGACAAAAGACUUUGGAAGGUACCCUAGAACCUCUCUAGUAUAAUGAAUGUCAAUAAAUUUAGCGUCUUUAGAUUUUUACUGAAUAAAAUAUUAUUUGAAAAAUUCUCAUUCGUUCAAAUUACUUUGAAACCUGUAUUUUCAAUACCAUGAGACAAAGUCUUGGUAUGUUUAAUAUUGGCGAGGGAUUCUGCUUGUUGAAGCCCGAGUCUAUGUUGCCAAGCUGGUUGUAGCACAAGCUUCUGUAAGGUAGCACAAGCUGCUGUAAGUUAAUUUAGACUAAGUCAAAUUGUGGUUGAUGACUUUGCAUCGCAGCGCACACGUGAUGUACAAUUAUUACACAGUAAACCACGUGGAAACGUUGGUGUAACCUAAAUUGUACGUCGAAUCCAAUUCCCUAGAGCAAUGGUUCUCAAACGGUGUGGCGCGCCCCACAAGGGGGACGUAGAUAUUUUUUUGUUAUGGCGUGAAGCUAAUUAAAAAUGAAAAUAUUUGUUAGAUUUGAUCUUGCCCGUCUUGUCUUGGAUAUUAACAUUUCUUUAUUGUUUGAAGAUUACGAUUCCAUCAACGUAUUUCCAACGUGUUUUUUAAAUAUAACAUACUUUCUCAAUACUAUCUGGAGUGGUACUAUGAUUGAAUCAAAUAACAUGGUUUUGUGAAUACCGUUUAGAAAAAGAUCUGUUCCCGACGGUAUCUUGGAAAAGUUUUGGUGCAGGGCACGAUUGUGAUAUGCUAAAAUUACAAUACCAUGUCGUUAGUUAACUGAAACGUUUUUCUUAGAAUGAGGUUAGAUCUCUUUUACAGUUAUCAUACUUC